GUGUCAGCAGCCGCGGUAAUACGUAGGGUGCGAGCGUUGUCCGGAAUUAUUGGGCGUAAAGAGCUCGUAGGCGGUGUGUCGCGUCGGCCGUGAAAACCUGGGGCUUAACUCUGGGCGUGCGGUCGAUACGGGCAUCACUAGAGUUCGGCAGGGGAGACUGGAAUUCCUGGUGUAGCGGUGAAAUGCGCAGAUAUCAGGAGGAACACCGGUGGCGAAGGCGGGUCUCUGGGCCGAUACUGACGCUGAGGAGCGAAAGCAUGGGUAGCGAACAGGAUUAGAUACCCUCGUAGUCC
rnacentral:rRNA from 1 species